rnacentral:misc_RNA from 1 species
AGUGACAAUUUAUCCAUCUCUAAAUCUAUAAAUAAUUUCAAUUUCUAAUAUUAUUAUAUAUAUUCUAAAGAGUGAGAUUGUUAUAAAAGUCAAUAAUGGUUGGCUUCUAGCUGCCUAUUCAGUUACUAUUUUCCCACCUAUUCCUUUUCUUUUUUCACGGGUGUAUAUAAGUCAAAGUUGUUACUGUGGUUGAUUGAUUAAAUGAGAUUCACAUUUUUUUCACUUUCUUACUCAAAUUGUGAUAUGGUAUCAGAGCUUUGAGAUCUGAGACAUUUAUUUUUUUUAGCUUGUUUACGU